AAAGCACAUUAACUGCUUGCAGAUUAUUUUUAAAAAUGCAGUUUGAGCAACACCACUAGUAUAGAUUCAACUGACAUUUAGGAGAAGGAGCUUCACUGCUGGGAAAUGAGACACUCAGUAGAGGAUGAAGUAAAUGUUUAAAAUAGGCAAAAUAAGACUCAGACUGUACCAAAGAUAUUCUCACCCUAAUAUACAUCUCACAUUUAUAUCAUUGGGGGUGUCUCUUUUCUGAAUGCAUAUCAAGUAGCCUUUUUGACCUUCCAAAGAAACCUCCUCAGAUCUCCCCUCUUGUCGCUACCUACCUGAUGAUGAGGAGCCUUCAUAGUCUCAGUGUCACUGCCAGAGGUUCAACAAAUUCCUUUUUCACACUCCUGGAAGUUUCUUUCUUUUCUCCUCCUCACUCACUGGCAUUUGCUGAGCCCUUCCUGGCAGGCAGGGAGUGGGAAAGUCCCUUAUCUGAACUCACUAUCUUCCCAUUUCCCUUGCUGCUGGAGAAGCCCCAGGCCAUGGCAGAAGAAACUGGAAUUUCAGAGCCUGGCCCAGCCUACCUCCAGUCUCACUCUGUAUGAGCAGGCAUUUAGCUGGCUCAGACACAAGCAAAGGAGCUCUGAAGAAAGAAGAACUGCAUGAGUCAUUUUGCUAUCUCAUUUCCUUUUCGGUCCACACGAAAAUCCUAUCAGUAGCUAAUACAGCUUGAUGUAGAAUUAACUCUUAUGGCAUCUACUACAUUACCUCCAUGAAGCAAUUACUGAGAUCUCUGCCAGAAGUAGCUUUUACUGGGGAAUCCAAACUGCCAGUGGCAGGAGGCCAGCGCUGAAGCACACUGGAGCAACAGCCCCUGCAGGACGAUUCCUGCCUCUAUGGAUCUGAUACAGAUUCUAUUUUUGUAAACAUCUUCUACUCAUGAACUUCACAGGCCUCUGCAUAUUUUCCACAGCUGAAGACACAUCGUGCAAGAAGCAUGUAGGAAGUUUUUCCAUGUCUUCUGUGAUAGUAGCUGGUCACAAGGUAUUACAUAAGGAUUUUAAAAGGAUCAGAGAAGGAGAAGGUGGACAUUCAUUUUCCAGAGUCUUUUCAUGGGACGACAGAUAUGGUUGCCAGUGAUACCUCUGGGGAAUAGGCAAAAGGAAGACAUUUUGCAUUAUUUGGUGCUUGGUGAUGUUUACUUGAAAGUGGGACAUUAGUUGGCAAGAUAUAUAUUGUUUUUUCUUUUCAUUUUAGCUGGUUUUAGUGGUAGCUAAGGAAGAUAACAGGGACACAUUACCUACUGUGAUAUAAUCUGCAUCCGUGAUAAUUAAUUGAUGAAAAGAAUAUAUUUACUCAGCAGGUAAGACAGUGACAAUAGCUUUGUAUUUUAUAAGCAGUGUUUCUUUGGAAGAUGCUGUUCCAGUAUUUAUAAUUUAUAAGAUCUUUAUAUUUAUAUAGAGAUAUAGGGAACAUCUGGUAGAACAGGUUUAAUAGAUUCAUCAAUGGCUUAUAGAAAAUAUGAACAGCUGUCUCUUAAAACACAAACAAACAGUUAGUUUACAGCAUAAGCUGUUCUUCAGGGAUAUGAUGGAAGCCUCAGGGUAGUUUAGAACAAGUUGCUAAGAACCAGACUAGUUCUAAAACUGCUUUGCUCUGUGCUGUUAUCAGCCCCUCUAUCAGGCUAGUGACCAUCAGUCACAAGGUGACUAUUUUAAGAUUUGCUGGAAUUGUGUUUUCCUCCCCACCCAUCCCUGCCCAGACUUACAGUGACCACUCUGUGUGCAGGGCAUGGGGGAAGAGAGGCAUGGAUCCUUGUCUGUUCCCAAUUCACCUUGGCAUACAACCCCAGAAAUAGGUGGUCCUCCCCUAGGAGCACAUGCUUAAUGCUUAUGGUUUCUCAAUUUCUCUGUUGAAUUCGUCGCAAAACUGCAGGAACAGAGGAAGAAGGAAGUCAAGGGAUCUUUAUGUGGCACUUCCUCCAGCAGCAUCCUUGACCUAGUUUGGGCAGCACUGAAGCUCUGUUUUGCAAACAGAAGUUGCUAAUGGCAGUGACCUACAGAACACAACAGGUCAAACAUUCUUUCCCUUUUGCCAGCACAGCCCUUCACAACAGGGGCUGUGGAAGGGGAGAUUUUCAGAUCUGCAAUAAACAGAGGGGCACAUAAUUUCAUCCAUCAUAAAAAUAAAUUAGCAAGUUGCAAGGGGCUGUUUCCUACUCCUCCUUUCUUCUGAGGUACCCAGCUUUGUAAAAAGAUCUAUCCAUGUUUCUCUCUAGAUAUUUAAAUACCUCUUUUUGCCAAACCUGUACAAAAACUUAUAUUUGUGAAGAUCUUUCAGACCAGCAUUUAAAUCAGCACUUAUCAAAAAAAUGUUGUACACAAUUUCCUACACAAAAUUGCAGCCUCAUUGUUUAAGAACCAACCCACAAUGCUCAGAGAAAAUAUCCACAGCCUGUCAGAAAGUUUAUUUCAAAGAAAACAAAACUGUUUAUGUUCUGUCAUUUACCUCCAGUUCCUUUAAGCAGCAGUGGGAAUGCUGUUGCUCAUGAAAGUGCAAGGACAAAAACUGUGGGGCACAGUUAGAUUUAUGUUCUGUUUCAGUCCCUUGUUCAGAGAUUCAGUCUUAUCACUUCCCUCCUACGAGAUAAUUCUUAUGAAAUCACAUUCUUAUUAAACCAUGUAUUUCUUCAAAAUGUAAAAUACCUACUUUUCUUUUGGUGCUAUAUGAUAAACAUUUUUACUGAUUUUAAAAAGUUUGUUAUUGUCUUGAUAAAAACUAGAAACUGUUCACUGAUGAUGAAUUCCCUAUUGCAUAGAACCCACUGCACAGAAGAGCUGAGCAACUGGGUGAAAGCUGUCUUAACGAAAUCUUCUCAACUUCUAAUGAGAAUGAAAUUGACUUUUAAUAUGGAGAUUUAUGUAAAUAUAAAUAACACAUAAUGUUAUGUAAACAUGAUAAAUAAAGGUGUGAUUAAGAACCAAAA